GUUUCUGUAAUAUAGUGGUCAUCACGUUAGCCUAACACGCAAAAGGUCCUCGGUUCGAAGCUGAGCAGAAACA